CUCUUCUCUGUGCGGCCCCUGAGCCUGGAAUGCAAGCCAGAGGCGGUCUCCGCCCCUCCUCCCACUCCAGAGCCCCACUGUACCUCUUUGUUGUUCCACAAAGAUCUGUUUGUUUGAUCUUUCCAUCUCUUCAUUGUUUCAGUCUAAACUGAGAGCCAGGGAUGAAGGCAGAGGAGGAACUGAAACCAAACCUUCAGAGGAAUUUCUGACCGUUAUAUCAGCUAGCACAGACCCCUGGUUUUGCCACUUCUCAGAGAUUCCACAGUGCGGUACCCGCUCUGGUAGUUGCAUGAUGGAUGUGGCCUGAGAGGCUUCCCUGAGGAGGUGAGCUGACUGAGGGAAGGGACAAAGUUCCCAACAACAAAACAAAACGACAGCCCAGGAUGCUCAUGGCCUGGUGGAAGGGCCUUGAAAUCCAAGAACCUGCCCCCCGAGUCGGGAGGAUGAAAGAGAUUUCAACCAACAAGCAAACAGGCUCUUCUCCACACGUUUCAUGGGAUCGAACGCCUGCUCAUAGAGGUGGGUCUACCAGCAGAAGACAACUUAAAGCGUUUGUGAGAAAUGACUUCCUUUUUAAUGCUGGUCCUUUGUGGAAGCCAAUGGUGGAAGCAUCAGUCCAGAGGGCUCUCCUGGAAGCCAGUCCUCCAUCCUAGUCUCUGCUCUUGGCUGUACUGAAACCAUCCUUUUUCUAUGUUCUGUGUUUUCUAGAAGCUCCACAUACUUUACCACAAUGUUCCUUGUCAUGGCAGCACGGAAGAGAUGGAAAAAGGCAAGAGGGGAAUAUGCGAUAGCAGAUGUGAAAAUCAGGUGUUUCUAAGUCACUGAUACCUGUAAAGUAAUUGCAUUUGUGAUACCAGAACAGGUACUUCCAAAUAUGCAUAGAGUUCUCGCCUCAGCAGUGUGGAUACUAAAAUUGGAAAGAUAAAGAGAAGGUUGUCAUGGCCUCUGCACAGGAUGACACACAAAUUCAAGAAGCAUCCCACUUUUUUGUUCUUCAUGCACUGAACUGUACGCGUAAAAAUUGUUAAAACAGCAAACUUUAUGUUAUGUAUAUUUUACCGCAGUUAAAAAUAUGCACAGAAAUGGAUCUAGAAACAUACAUACAAACUGUUCACAUUGGCCAAUUCUUGGGAAGAAGGGUGACUUUCAGGGUUUUUUCCCUUCAAUUUUAAACCUUUUUUUGGAAAUUAUUUUAAACAUAGAAAAGUUGCAUGAGUAAAAGUAUUGCCAAUAAUACCUCUAUACUGUUUACCCAGAUUCAACUACUCUUAACACUUUAUCCAUUUGCUUCAUCAUUCCCUCGUUUUCUCUUUCUCUCUCUGCAAUCUAUGGGGAGACACUUAAAGUCCUUACAAAUAUCUUUCUCCUCAUCAAGAUUUCCUUCUGGAUUCAGCAUCCGUGGAUGAUUUCUGUUGAACUGAUCUUUACUAUGAUGGUUGCAAAAUGGGUAUUUUCCAAUGCUAGCACCCCUCCCCAUAUACCAUUUGGCACUGAGUGUUCUGCUUUAAGCAGGAACCCUCUGUAAUCCCCUCAGUUUUUUAUAUAUUUGUCACAGGCAAGGGCUCAUGAAUACCUAUUUUUUUCAAUGAUUUAUAAUUCACUAAUGUAUUUGAUUAUUUUGCUGAUCAAAUUGUCCCAGAUUUGGCUAGUGGAGUCCCUACAAGCUGGCUACUGUGUCCCUGUGAUGUGUGACCCACCUCUGCCCAUCAUGUUGAGCACUUAAUAUCUGGCAUAAAAAGAUUUUCCAGGCUUUUCUUGUACCUAUCUGCCCUGGCCCUGAAGUCAGCCAUUUCUAUGAAGAGCCUUGGUUCUUUUUAAUGGGGAAAGGCAUUAGAAACCAAGAUGUGGGUGUGAGCUAUGCUCAUUGCUUGUGGGGAGUCUUUGCUUCUUGUAUCUUUCAGUUGAGUGAAUAGAAAAUCAACAGAUAUUUAUAUGUAUACAUAUAUACACUUACAUACAAAUAUACCUAGACAUAUAUGUAUAUGCAUAGAUAAAUCAUAAACAUGUGAACAUAUACGUACUUUAGAAAUCACGAAUUCACAGAAAUAAUUUUAAUUUCCAUCCGUUCCCACAGGGAUUUUUUUCUUGCAUUCUCCUCUAUUCCAUAUUUGCACUUUUUUUUUUUUCAGUGAGGACCUUGGAUUCCUCAAACAAUACAUUCACUUAUUUGCUCAAUUGCAUAAUACAUCGAAAAUAGUUUCAGAAUUGCUUCAUCCUUGUCUCUACGCAAAACAAACCCACUGAAAAGAGUUCAGGAUUGGUUUGUAAUUUCCUCCAUGCCCAUCAGUCCGCCACAAACUGAGGGUAGAUAGUCAAAUGCCGAAUAUUAAUACCUUGCUCAGAUUCGUUCUUUCUGUUUCUAUUUCCCUCCUGUGUGGUUAUACUACCCAUUUGAAAUCUAAUUAAGCUGAUUGGUUUCAAUUUGCUCUCAUUUUACUUUCCACACCCCAUUUUUACUAACUUAAUUGAUUUUUGAGUAUAUAGAAGGUUAUCAUAUUUUCCAAAGAAAAGCUGAACAGAAAGGUAUAUUUGUGCCACUCCUUCCCAAAUCUCGCCUACCACAGUCUCCUUAUAGGUCACCAGCUUCAUGGUUUAUCCUUCUUGUGUUUCUUUUUGUACAGGUAAACAGUCACAGAUUUUCUUAUUUUUCCUGCUACUAUAUAUGCUUUUUUAAAAAACAGCUUUAUUGAGCAUAAUUUACGUGGUAUAAAAUUCACCCAUUUUAAGUGGGCAGCUAGACAAGUUUUAGUGAAUUUAUACAUUUGUGCAACCAUCACCACAAUCCUGUUUUAGAACACCACCAUCCUCCCAGGAGCUGCCCUCACGCCCAUUUGCAGACAACCCCCACUCCCAUCUCAGCCCCAAGCCACCACCCAUCUGUGUUCUGUUUCUAUUGUUUUAUUCUUUCUAUAAAUUUCAUAUCAAUGGAGUUACACAGUAUGUGGUCUUAUGUGUCUGGUUUCUUACUAGCCUCAUGCUUUUGAGGUUCAUUUGUGUUGUUGAUGGUGUCCACAGUACUCACCUUUUCGUUGGUGCGUUGUAUGGAUGUACCACAAUUCGUUUCUCGAUUGACCAGAUGAUGGAUGUUGGGAGUGUUUCCAGCUUUUUGUUUAUUGUGAAUAAUGCUGCUAUGAACAUCGGUGUGCAGGUUUUUGACAGACACGUGUUUUCAUUUCUCUUGGGUAGUUACCUUGGAGUGAAAUUGCUGUGUCAUAUGGUAAGUGUAUGUUUAACUUAUGAAACUGGCAAAUGGUUUUCCAAAGUGCCUGUAUCAUUUUACGUUCCCAUCAGCGAUGUAUUUAUAUUAAUUGUAAGCAAAUGUAUUCUCCUAAAGUUGCUGAAAGUUCUUAUCUAAGCUAGGCCAGUUAUUUAUUGUCCUUGUAAUCUUGCUCAUUUUUUACUUACUCAGCCCUUUUCUUCAUGGGUAGUUCAAAGGAAAAUCAGAUUAUUCCUUGCUGAAUUAUAAGGAAUUCAGAAUGAAUGUGACCAAAAAUAAAGACCCAGAAAGGUAUUUUCUCUCUCUUUAUAGGGAAUGGAAAGAUAUAGAUGACGUUAUUAAGAGAAGGACUUUCUAGCUUCAGUCUUUAAAAAUAAAGAUCAGUUGCAUCAGAAACCUGAGUUUACAUUCUUUCCGAUGGUAGGGCAGGGAAUGAGGUUAGUUUAUGGAAGGAAGUACUCCCCCCCCCCAUUUUUUUUCUGGUGAGGAAGAUUGGCCCUGAGCUAAUAUCUGUGCCAAUCUUCCUCUAUGUUGUAUAUGGGACACCACCACAGCAUGGCUUGAUGAGUGGUGUGUAGGUUCACACCCAGGAUCUGAACCUGCAAACCCCAGGCCACUUAACCACUACUCCACUGGACUGGCACCAGGAAGUACCUCUUUUAAUUGAUGGAUACUUGGGAAAUUGACUAAAGUUAGGGUAUGGUCAUUAACUUCAAAUUUUGAGACAUCAGAAAAGAAUUCAGAAAUCUAAAGAUUCUAAAAAGGAGAAAACUUGAUAUAGUUCCCAAGUUGUUAUUUUUAAAUAUUUUGAAAGGAGAGCUGUGAUGGUUGCAAAGAGGCAGUCCUAGAAAUGAGAGCGGCAGCUGUUCAGUUGGGCACUUCCACUGAACGUAGGAUAAAUGCCAGAUCUUCUUGCUACACCCUAAAUACACCUGGACAAAACCACAGCUCCUGGAGAACCAAAGCACACUUCAUGGCAGCCCUCGUCUAGGGUCAUCCACAGACCACACUGGGGAUGCUGCCAGCUUCAAGUUACACCCCAAGAAAAUCAGUAUCAGUUGACAGACUAGCCAGCUCAUUGCUAAAUUAACUUCAGCUAAAUUUUUAAAUAACCAAAGGUUGUCUUUAAAAAAAUCUCUCCACAUCUCUUCUCAAAGGUUUUCUCCCUGCUUCUGAUAUUCAUCUUUUUUGCCCCAUCCCAAGCGCCUGGCACAUAUAUCAUUUUGUUGAGCCUGAAUUUAGCCAAAACAGAUAUUAACCAGUAAAACUCUUGUUCAUAAAAGGUUCAUUUGAAAUUGUUAAACAUGCAUCCCGUGCUCCCUGGAAGUGAGGGACUAUUUGGGCAGUAAAGGGGUUUUCCUGGCACCCAUCGAAAUGCAUCCUAUAGGUGAGGGGUUGCUGUUUCACAGGCCCUACCCUUAUGAGGUACAUUUGUACAUGAACUACUGGUUCCAGUGUUUUUAAUUUUUAAUUUUUUUCUUUUGAGGAAGAUUAGCCCUGUGCUAACAUCUGCUGACAAUCCUCCUCUUUUUUGCUGAGGAAGACUGGCCCUGAGCUACCAUCCAUGCCCAUCUUCCUCUACUUUAUAUGUGGGAUGCCUGCCACAGCAUGGCUUGAUAAGGAGUGCAUAGACCCGCACCUGGGAUCCGAACCAGUGAACCCCGGGCCACCGAAGUGGAAUGUAUGAACCUAACUACUGUGCCACUGGGCUGGCUCCUUAAGUUUUUAAUUUUUAAGAAAGAGGAAAAUCCUCCUUGGGAGCUUAGAUUCUGUUGGGAUAAACUGAGUAAAAAUGUUUUAUAUGCCAGGAAAACAUCUGUCUAUCCAGGGAACUGUAGCUUGACAGAGGUGCGGUUAAGUGCUAAGUAAGAAAGGAGGAAAAAUGAAUACGACAGUACACAGCCAGAAAGACUGGUCGGUAAAUGUAGUUGGCAAAAUGUGCCUAGUUAUUUUGUAGCUCCUAUUUUUAAUUAGCAUUCUGUGUAGUUUUCUUAUUUUCAGAAAUUCCCUCUCUCUAGAACACACGCACAUGCACACACGCACGUAUGAGCAUGGAUUCUUGUUGUUGUUUUCCUUUUCAAAGUUCAUAGCUGCAUCAUUGCACAGAUGGAGGAUAUUGGAGAAAUGCUAUAUGGGAAACAUAAAGAUGUUAGUACUUCUGGUUUGGUUGGGUGGUGGGUUGAUUUCAGGAAGGGUCCCAAGGUGUUCACGUCUAACCCGUGUUCACGCUGGGCUUGGCCAUAUGACUUGUUCUGACCAGUGAGUGAGUAGCCAACACAACGCAGCAGACAGUGGGAAUGCUGUUAAUGCCACUGGGAUGCUGCUAACCCCCAUCUUUUCCUCUUUGUUCUUUCUUUUAUAUAUUUAUACAAAAUCACAGUUUUUACGUUUGUGACAGACAAAUAAAAUUGAUUUGUGUUCAUAACUUAGCAGUUGCCUUACUAUAGACAUUGACCAUUCCGUGGCAUUCUAGUAGUAAGAGAACUUUAUUUUUCUCUUGGAAAUCAGGCAAUGGCAUUCGACUCUCCCCUCCGUCCAGUGCUACACCGAUGUCUACGAAGAGGAUGGCAUGUGGGCUCCUGGAACGUUCUACCAGGGAAGCAGAGCAAAGUGGCGAGGGGGGCUGCGGGAUGGAGGACGCAGGCUCAGCCAGAAUCACGUCGUGUUUUCAUUGAGGGCUUUCUACCACUUUUUGAUGGUCGAUCCCCAGGUUUCUGGGGCAUGCUGAUUGGAUGGUGUAUGGAAACCAGCUUAGAGCAACACUCUUGUUUCCUCUGACUCACUCUUCUCUCUUUCCAACUCCUAUUGGAUACUUCUGCCUAAAAUGAGCCCAAUCUCUAAAUACCAAAUACUCAGCUGUUCUAUUUUGUAAUAUUUCAUUCUUCGAGGCCAGGGUGAGAGAACGCUGGCCCUCGAGUUCUCCCUCGGGUACCUGCUCUGAGCGCAAAGUCCACUCAGAUAAUUUCUUCAUUUAUGCUCUAGUUGUGAAAACGUUUCAUUGUUUAAUGGCAACAUGUUAAAAAGCCAUUGUUUUGCUGUUACUCUUUAAAGCUUAUGCUCCUGGCUCGUCUGAACUUUUCUCUCUUGCUUUACCUGUGUUUCUGUGUUUUUUUCCUAUUUCACUCUCCAUCUGGUCUUCCUUCUUAAUUUUUUCUUUUUCUAUUUUUUGUCUUUUCUCUCUGUGUAUUUAAUUAGUCCACAGUAUAGAACCACUGUAUACAUUUUUAUUAUUUCUUGUUUUUAUAGAAUAGAAUGUUAUAUUCUCUUAAUUUAAAUACCACGUAAACAGUGUAUGUUCUUUUUCAAAUAAAACAUAACAUGAGCUUUA
rnacentral:lncRNA from 1 species